rnacentral:rRNA from 1 species
UACGAAGGGGGCUAGCGUUGUUCGGAAUUACUGGGCGUAAAGCGCGCGUAGGCGGACUGAUCAGUUGGGGGUGAAAUCCCAGGGCUUAACCCUGGAACUGCCUCCAAUACUGUCAGUCUUGAGUUCGGGAGAGGUGAGUGGAAUUCCUAGUGUAGAGGUGAAAUUCGUAGAUAUUAGGAAGAACACCAGUGGCGAAGGCGGCUCACUGGCCCGAUACUGACGCUGAGGCGCGAAAGCGUGGGGAGCAAACAGGAUUAGAAACCCCAGUAGUCC